UCAGAUAUGGUGUAGUGGGAACACGGUCUCUAAAUGUAAAGCCACCUCCGAUGUCAAGAGGCAGUCCAGGGUUCGAAUCCCUGUAUCUGAA